ACGUGACGUCAUCAGCCGCCUUCAUCCGGGGACCGAGACCCUGGACCUUCCCACCUGCCAGUGCCCUUCCAUCAGUAUUUAGUGUUAUUUCCUAUAUUUUCCAGCUGUUUUCAUGCAUAGAGAAGAAUAGAAAGAGGAGUGAAUUCUUCGUUUCUGUGGCGUUUUAAAAAGAGCAACGGCAACCCUCCGAUCCGGCAAGCAGGUUGGCGGCAGCGAUGGCGGUGGCGGCAGCAGCGGUGGUGAGGUGGACGGCAGGGACGGAGGGGCGGUACAGGCUGCGGACAUCAAGGAGAAAAAGAACGUGCGGAGAAGCAAGGUGGCAUUCAGCAGUGUGAUCCUGGACCUGGUCGGCUUGACGGUGGUGGUGCCUCUGUCUCCUGCUCUCUUUGACUGUUACUCCAAGCACGACUCCAGCGGCUUGUAUUCCUCUGUGCUCUCCUGUGUGACUUGUUACCAGCAUAUCAUCGGCGUCCCUGCGAGGUUCCACUCUGUCUUGUUUGGUGGUAUGUGGGGCCUAAUGAUGAUGAUUCCUGCUUUCAUCCUCAUCGGGGCUAACGAGACCAACCUGGGGCUGUACUCUGGACUGACGCUGUAUGCCAUAGUGCCUUGAGGUGCCAAUUAUUUAUGAAGUUUAUGAAAGCAGAAACGGCUCUCCAGAAUAUGAUUUUUACCCUAGAUCUUCCCUUCAGCACGCCCUGUCUGCUGGCUCCUGCUGGCAGCACGCCCUGUCUGCUGGCUCCUGCUGGCAGCACGCCCUGUCUGCUGGCUCCUGCUGGCAGCACGCCCUGUCUGCUGGCUCCUGCUGGCAGCACGCCCUGUCUGCUGGCUCCUGCUGGCAGCACGCCCUGUCUGCUGGCUCCUGCUGGCAGCACGCCCUGUCUGCUGGCUCCUGCUGGCAGCACGCCCUGUCUGCUGGCUCCUGCUGGCAGCACGCCCUGUCUGCUGGCUCCUGCUGGCAGCACGCCCUGUCUGCUGGCGCCUCUCUCAAUCAGAAAAGUUUCCUUCAAUUAUUACCUUCAUCUCCAGUCCACUCUGCUUUUUCCUCCAUCUCUCUCUCUCUCUCUCUCUCUCUCUCUCUCUCUCUCUCUCUCUCUCUCUCUCUCUCUCUCUCUCUCUCUCUCUCUCUGUCAAUGAAA